rnacentral:rRNA from 1 species
AGGACGAACGCUGGCGGCGUGCUUAACACAUGCAAGUCGAACGAGAUCCAUCGAGUGGCAACACUCGUGAAGAUCUAGUGGCGAACGGGUGCGUAACACGUGAGAAACCCACCCCGAACUUCGGGAUAACAGGUGGAAACGCCUGCUAAUACCGGAUAUCUCCGCCGAGUCGCAUGGCUUGGCGAAGAAAGGUCAGCCGGUUCGGGACGGUCUCGCGGCCUAUCAGCUUGUUGGUGGGGUAAUGGCCUACCAAGGCAUCGACGGGUAGCUGGUCUGAGAGGAUGAUCAGCCACACUGGGACUGAGACACGGCCCAGACUCCUACGGGAGGCAGCAGUGGGGAAUCUUGCCCAAUGGGCGCAAGCCUGAGGCAGCAACGCCGCGUGCGGGAAGAAGGCCCUCGGGUUGUAAACCGCUUUCAGCAGGAACGAAAAUGACGGUACCUGCAGAAGAAGGUGCGGCCAACUACGUGCCAGCAGCCGC